rnacentral:lncRNA from 1 species
GAGGCGACGACUAGUGCGCAAGCGCGAAUCUCACUUCUGGCUUUCUCUCUUCCCCUCCCCCUCCCUUCCCCAGCCCGAGGGGUCCUGAGGUGACAGCGCCUGGAAGUGGGACUGGAGGAGCCGGCGGAGGAGAAGAUGGACAGGGCCAGGCCUGGGCGUCGGCGAGCUUCAUCAGCCUCCAGCAUCUUCCAAAAGUGAUUCGAAAGUCAAAGGAUUUGAAGCCGGGUUUUUUGUUGUUGUUGUGUUUUUGUUUUUGUUUUUUUAUCUCAGCCCAUUUUUUGGAAUUGUUUUAAGACUUGAAACUCAAGAACCUCUUUUAAGUUUUGUAUAAAAUUGAGAUAGAGCUCCGCCCCGUCGACAAGUUAUUGUUAUCCAUCUCAUCUGUUAAGUGCACCUCUUAAUUCCUGGAGUCAGCUCCCGUGUGCAUAGAAAUGCACUGUCUAGUACAUAAAACAGUGUCGAUGAAUUCAUUGAGUUGUUUUUGUUUUCUUUUCUUUUUCUGUUUUUGAGAAAAGGUCUCCCUGUGUAACUCAAGAUGGGGUCAUAUUCCUAUUCCCCCUGAUUACCUCUUCUGAAUGGUGGGGUUACAGGCGACCCCCCCCCACUUUUUCCUCUUUCUGUUUUUUUGAGACAGAGUUUCUCUGUGUACUCCUGGCUAUCCUGGAACUCAAUUUGUAGACCUGGCUGGCCUCCCAACUCAGAGAUAUGCCUGCUUUUGCCUCCCAUGUCCUGGGGUGUUAAAGGCUUGCACCACUACCAACUGAGCUCAACCCAUUGUAAACUUUCUCAUUAUACGGUUUAUUUUGGUAGAGUUAGACUCAGCAGUUCCAAAUCUAUUUAGGUAUGCCCGGUGGCAAUGUGUCUAAAGCUCUUAAGGCUAUGAGCACAGAUCUCUGAGGACUCGGUUUGACAGAGUUGAACUCCCAAGAUCUCUUCAUAUGCAAUCAAUUUUAUCAAUAUUUUUGUCUUUUUUUUUUUUUUUUUGAGGAAUGGUCGUCCUCUUGCAGCCUUGGAGCUCAGGGGUCUCCUGCGUCAGACUUUUCCCGUGCUAGGAUUUUAGGUGUGUUGCUACCACGCCUAGCCUUUUCCCACUGCGUAUUUUAAAGAUACUAGCUGUUCUUUGCCUUUGAAAUCAUAUUUAUGCAAGACAUAAAGGUGUUUUUAUAUGC